rnacentral:rRNA from 1 species
ACACAUGCAAGUCGAGGGGUAGAAGAAGCUUGCUUYUYUGAGACCGGCGCACGGGUGCGUAACGCGUAUGCAAUCUACCUUUCACAAAGGGAUAGCCCAGAGAAAUUUGGAUUAAUACCUUAUAGUAWWAYKRMWUGGCAUCAWKWWRUWWUUAAAGAUUUAUCGGUGAAAGAUGAGCAUGCGUCCCAUUAGCUAGUUGGUAUGGUAACGGCAUACCAAGGCUACGAUGGGUAGGGGUCCUGAGAGGGAGAUCCCCCACACUGGUACUGAGACACGGACCAGACUCCUACGGGAGGCAGCAGUGAGGAAUAUUGGACAAUGGGCGCAAGCCUGAUCCAGCCAUGCCGCGUGCAGGAUGACGGUCCUAUGGAUUGUAAACUGCUUUUAUACAGGAAGAAACACCUCUACGUGUAGAGACUUGACGGUACUGUAAGAAUAAGGAUCGGCUAACUCCGUGCCAGCAGCCGCGGUAAUACGGAGGAUCCAAGCGUUAUCCGGAAUCAUUGGGUUUAAAGGGUCCGUAGGCGGUCAGAUAAGUCAGUGGUGAAAGCCCAUCGCUCAACGGUGGAACGGCCAUUGAUACUGUCUGACUUGAAUUAUUAGGAAGUAACUAGAAUAUGUAGUGUAGCGGUGAAAUGCUUAGAGAUUACAUGGAAUACCAAUUGCGAAGGCAGGUUACUACUAAUAUAUUGACGCUGAUGGACGAAAGCGUGGGUAGCGAACAGGAUUAGAUACCCUGGUAGUCCACGCCGUAAACGAUGGAUACUAGCUGUUGGGAGCAAUCUCAGUGGCUAAGCGAAAGUGAUAAGUAUCCCACCUGGGGAGUACGAACGCAAGUUUGAAACUCAAAGGAAUUGACGGGGGCCCGCACAAGCGGUGGAGCAUGUGGUUUAAUUCGAUGAUACGCGAGGAACCUUACCAAGGCUUAAAUGUAGAUUGACCGGUUUGGAAACAGAUCUUUCGCAAGACAAUUUACAAGGUGCUGCAUGGUUGUCGUCAGCUCGUGCCGUGAGGUGUCAGGUUAAGUCCUAUAACGAGCGCAACCCCUGUUGUUAGUUGCCAGCGAGUCAUGUYGGGAACUYUAACGAGACUGCCAGUGCAAACUGUGAGGAAGGUGGGGAUGACGUCAAAUCAUCACGGCCCUUACGCCUUGGGCUACACACGUGCUACAAUGGCCGGUACAGAGAGCAGCCACUGGGUGACCAGGAGCGAAUYUACAAAACCGGUCACAGUUYGGAUYGGAGUYUGCAACUYGACUCCGUGAAGCUGGAAUCGCUAGUAAUYGGAUAUCAGCCMUGAUCCGGUGAAUACGUUCCCGGGCCUUGUACACACCGCCCGUCAAGCCAUGGAAGCUGGGGGUGCCUGAAGUCGGUGACCGCAAGGAG